CCAGCAGCCCGCUCGAGCGCGUCGCCACCGCUGCCCACCACGCCAGCAGCACCUCCGAGCUAGCACCACUGCGUUCCGCUGCUGCCGACGUCCCCUCCGCCACCAUCGCUGCCGUCGCCCAGAUCUGAGCCGACGCCCCAGCAGCCCGCGCCUGCGCUGCUCUUCGCCCGAGCACCAGNNNNNNNNNNNNNNNNNNNNNNNNNNNNNNNNNNNNNNNNNNNNNNNNNNNNNNNNNNNNNNNNNNNNNNNNNNNNNNNNNNNNNNNNNNNNNNNNNNNNNNNNNNNNNGCGCUGCUCUUCGCCCGAGCACCAGCAGCACCGUCCCGGACACCUGCAACCAGCAGCCACCUCUGCUCGUCGCCACCACCGCAGCAACGUUGCAGCAGCCCACCUGAACGCCGUCGCUGCUGCUGCCCGCGCCGCUGCCUCUCAGUCCGCAACACCUGCAGCACCUUCGCCCGACGCCUGCACCCAUAGCCGUGCCUCUGCUCGCCCGUCACAGCUCCUGCCUCCGUCGUUGCCCGUGUCCUACACCGGCAACGCCACCCGCCUGCUCUGCCCUGACGUCAAGUUCCAGCUCUACAAGCCAUCCGUGAAAUCCCCAGCAAUAACGGCGAGCUGCUGUCCAAGCUCGAACCGGACCAUUCUAAACUGAGAAGUUGCAGCACCGGCGAAUCACUUGUUCUUCUAAGUCCACCAACGUAGAGAAAGGGGGGCACAUAAAGAGCAAAAUAAAAAAAAAAAAGAACAAAAGACCACUUUCCUUUUCUUUGCAGGAUAUUCACGUUGGCUGGUGAAUGCUUUCAACGACGACUUUCCUUCCUCGUAAAUUUUUAUGUUGCAGGUCAUCCCUUGCCUUUGGAGAAAGACGUUUCCUGCUCGAACCAAACACUGCAGCUUAUCCCAAGCCACCCGUAGAGCCUCUGGCGAGCAACUGAAUCGCAGGUCCCCAAGCUUCGUGGCCGUGUAACCGCUGUCAUUCGUGAGUCCCUUGUUGCCGGUCCCGUUUUGGAAACGAAUCAUCUAGAUUAGGUAGGUUUAUUAUAUUUCAUUAGGUAGAAUUAUUUCAUUAUGUUAUUUUUAAUAUUUUGUCCCUUUCUUUGAAUUAGUUCUUGAUGCAUGUUUGAAAAUUCCCGACGUACCACCUAAUUCGCAACCGCACAAUGAUUUUUUAUUUCAUCUAUAAGGCUUUAGAUGAAAUAAUUAAUCACGCGGGAAUAAAAUUGAUAUUUUGGUCUUUAAGGCUUAAGAUCAAUUUAUUAAUUUUAUUAGCGAAACAACCAUGGAGGAUUUUGUAUCUUUUAAUUGUUUUGUUCAUAAAAAAAAUACAAAAAAAAUGCAUUUGCAUUUCAUGUAGGUUAGAAUUAGGUUUAUUUCCUGUUUUAUGGUUUGCAUAUUAAGAAUAGGAAUUUUAUUUCGAAUAUAAAAAAUAAGAAAAUCAAAUCUAUCAAUUUAGGUUGCUAGUUUUAACUUAGGUUCCAUGUUUAAUUACUUGGCAAAUUUUAAUUUCGAAAUUAAUACAAAAACAUUAAAAAAAUUAGAAUUUUGGCGCUCUUUGCAUAUCAUUGCAUUUUAGGGUAAAAUUUCAUAUAGUUUAAUUCUAGAUGAUAGUUUUUUAAUUAAAUGAAACUUUUAGAUAGAUUGCAUUUUAGUCAAGAAUUUCUAAAUAAGGAUAACAUUCUAGUUUAAAUUAGGAUUUGGUUUAACCUCAUUCCUAAUACAAAUUAGAUGAUAUCUUAAUUUAGACAGAUAAUUUUCACAUUUUUCUAAUUCCGAAUUUCAUGAAAAAUACACAAAAAAAGAUGUCUUAGAAUAAAUUAGUUUUAUUUUCUAGGAUAGAUUGCAUGCUUAUUAAGAAAACGCAAAAACAUCGCAUUAGGGCAUAUUAUCAUGUCAUGUUAUUCCAUGUUAGAUUAGUAGCAUGCAUUGCAUAUUGCAUGAUUUUUAUUAAAUAAGUGAAAACCAAAAAAGGGAAUUGCGUGUUAAUUAGAAAUCAUAUCUAGGACUGUUGAUGUAAAUUCCGAUCUAACACUGCAGAUGCUUUCGUUGCUAUGAGGUAAGUCCUGCAAUUUAUUCAUCUCUUUCUUGGGUGUUAAAUUGGUGGUUUGCGCACCCGCAUAAACACCUCACAUGUUAGGAAGUUAAAUUAAAAUCAAUCCAAAACUGCCUGCAAAAACAUUUUUGAAAAUAAAAGAAUGGUACCGAAAGGGCAUUAGAGAAAUCUAGUGUAACCAAGUCCCCGAACUCACAAUCUCUGGUUCGUAGGAGUGAAGUAAUUCUCCCAUUACUUUACUUGGGUUUCUAAUCGACCCACCAAAAAUAGAUUAGUGGCGACUCCAUGAUAAACAUCAUUUGCAUAUUAAGAACUUGAACCUAAGUCGCGAAUUGGUAUGGGCUUGGGAGAGCCCGAGUUAAGUCUAGGCUUAACAAUCCAUUAGCCGAACCCUUAAGUGGUCCAACCCGCUUCGGGGAGGUCGCGACAGCUUGGCGACUCCGCUGGGGAAAUAAAUGUUGAAAUUCUUAGUGGACUUAGGCCAAUUUUCUUUUUGAAAAAUAUUUUUGUUUGGCAGCGAGGAUCCCAGGUACGUCCCUAACAUUUAAGGUGUUAAAUGUUCUUGCAGGAUGGGAGGUAUAAGGGGAAGUGUUUGUUGACAUUUGUUUUGCAGAGAGGUGUCGGAAUGUAUGGUUUACUUUCACAUAUGAAGUGUUGCUUGAUAUAAACUGUUGUGCAUGCCUUGCAUUUGCACUACACUAUUGCACACACAACCCGCCGCCGGACCUGGGCCGCACUAGGACACUUAGGAUGGUAUUGAGUUGGAUACGACUUCGACCGCGAGGCCGCGUAGUAGAGGUUGCCCAACUCAAUCCCGAAAGCUUUUUCUUGGUAUCAAGAAUGUUUACCUCUGCCCGCGAGACUGCGCCGCAUUGGGGUAUCAUUCUUGACUGAGCCGGAGUUAGGAGGACUUGACUCAGUAUGCGAGACUGCAACUAGUCAUCCCACCCUGUUAACUUCACUUUGCUAAGCCUGUCUAAAGUAGAAAUCAAGCCUCACAUCUCAUGUGCAUGUCUGUGUGAUUGCCAUUGACUUUCCUCGGUGAGGUAAGUCUUCUAUCCCCAUACUAUGCAAUUUACUUACUUUGUCAUAUUUUUAGUCCGUCCAUGACAAUCUUGGUCAAUCAUUGAUUUAAUUCCUUUGUCAAUUACAAAUAAAAUGAGGAAAUUGUCAUGGAAAAUAACCAAAAAAAAAAAAACUUUAGAGAAUGUGUUUUCAAUUCAAGUCUUUAUUGUUUCAAAAUUUGGUUUUUUCUAGUUUAAGAAAUUUGGUCUUGCUAGGGUGUUUAUUUUUCUAACUCUUAGGAAAUUCCCUUCUUGUACGAACUUUUCAUGAAUAAAAAAAAAAUGAAAAAAUUGAUCAGAUCAUUGUCAUGGAUUGGCUCUUUAUUUACACCUCGUGCUUACAUAUUUUCAUUCAUCUAGAUUAGGUGAUAACGGAUCCCUCACGUUCGUCCAUUAUUACACGGUUAAAAGCCAGAAUGGCUGAUCAAGCGGAAAUGCGUGAUCGUAUCUCUACUAUGGAAGACCAACUCCAACAGUUAGUCACCUCUAUGCAGCUUCUGACAACUCAAAUCCAAUCCCUCCAAGUGGAUUCGACUCCUGCAUCGGUCCUCCCUGAAAUAGUAGUCUCGAAGCAAGCAAGUAGAGCCCAAAUUGGUGAUGACAACAUGCCUGAGCUGGAAAAUGAUCCGUUGUUGGCCAUUGCUGAAAAAAACUAAGCCUGACAAUGCCCUUAAGAAGGAGCAAGAUGAACGCUUUGCAAAACUCGAGGAGAAAGUGAAGCAAUUACAGGAAUCGCAAAGUUCACUUCCGAUCGACUUGUCCGUUAUAUGAGAAGGUCAAAGUACCAAGCAAGUUCAAAAUGCCAGAGCUUGAGAAAUACAAUGGCACUUCUUGCCCAAAGGCUCAUUUGCAGAUGUACCAUGUACGCAUGGCCCAACAUGUCAAGAAUGAGCCCCUCAUGAUCCAAUCAUUCCAUGCGAGUUUGACCGGACCUGCACUGAACUGGUACGUGAUGAAGAAUGUCAAUCUUCUCGACACAUGGAAUGAAGUGGCUGACGCAUUUCUCAAGCAGUAUAAGUUCAAUAUGGACAUUGCACCUUCCCGAGAAGAUCUUGAGAGGAUGGAGAAGAAGAGGAGCGAAUCAUUUAAGGAGUAUGACGUGAGAUGGCGAAAUCUGGCAGCUCAAAUCACUCCUGAGCCUACUGAUAAAGAAUUGAUGAAGUUGUUCGUCAAGACUCUCCCGUAUGAGUUCCGUAAUCAGAUGGCUAGCACAUACGUUGAAAACUUCAACCAACUUGUUCCUGUGGGAGAACAAAUUGAGACGGGGAUAAGAGAAGGGUGGUUUACUGAGCCAUCUAACAAGAGGUUUUCUACCAAACAUGAGAAGGACCUUGAAGCUGAGAUUAAUGUGACAUAUUUGAAUCAUGAUACAUCCAAUCGCACUCCAACAACUAAGAUUUCUACUGAGCAACAAGAUGGAGGACAUCAGCUCUCUGGUCGACGACGUAAUGUUAGAAGACAGUUCACACCUCUUCCUGGACCCCUAUCCAAAGUUUUGCCCGUCCUUCAAAAGAAGGGAUUACUCUCUACGGAGCCAAAGCGACCAAAUCCUGAGCAUUAUCCUACAUAUAAUCUCUCCGAGAAGUGUGACUAUCACAUGGGAGAGGUUGGUCACUCCACUGAUGAUUGCUAUGUUUUGAAGCAUAGGGUCCAAGACCUCUUGGAUACAAAGGCGUUCUCUUUCAGCAGUGAUCAGAAAGACCUUUUGCCCAACCAUGACGAAGGCACAAAUGCUGUCACUGAGUGAAGAAGUUCUUAUCUUCACACUCCCCUACAGAGGAGUCUUUUUUUUUUUUUUUAUGCUUUCUAGAAUUUCAAGUUUUUUUAGGAUUUCCUGCUUUCUGAGACUUCAAUUAUUGCUUUUGUUUCUAGGAUUUGCUUGUUUGCAUUUCCCAUUCCAAUAAUGUAAUUCAUUUGAUUCUAUUCAAUGAAAUUACAAUUUUAUUUUGAGGACAUGAUGGGGUACACCAAACUAGUCCGGUGACGAUAUCCAACAAUGAAAAUAAAAUAUCUUCCAAGGAGAAUUCUGAGGACUGGGCUUCUUCAUGCUUCCUCAUCCAAAAAAUUCCCUAAAAAAAAAAAAAUCAUUUUUUUUCAAGUCAUUUCCAAAAGCAUGCAUUAGGUUAGCCUUGUUUAAUUUUCUGACUCAUUUACUUUAUAUUUCAGAGCAUUACUUUCUUGGCCUGAUGAGAAAGCAUAUGAAAAAGACACAUCAUAUGACAAAUUGGGGGCAUGGUGGAUUUUAGUAGUGACCCGACUGAAAAAAAUCUCAAUCUGAGCCAAAGUGGAUGUGCAAUUUGAAUUUACUCUGAUGUUGUAUANNNNNNNNNNNNNNNNNNNNNNNNNNNNNNNNNNNNNNNNNNNNNNNNNNNNNNNNNNNNNNNNNNNNNNNNNNNNNNNNNNNNNNNNNNNNNNNNNNNNGAUCAUCUUCAGUCGUGUUAUUACAUUGAAUUCAUGUGGUGAUUUAAGUGCCUUAAGAUGACGAAGAUCAUUUCUUUCUCUAUCCUAAAUACUUAUAUCCUUUGCAUAGCCCACUUGAGCCUGCAAUUUCAUUUCUUUAAACCCAGUUGGUAAUCAUCCCCCACACUGGGGCAAGGCAAAAGGCAGAUAAAGACCCUUGAAAGUUCGAGUGUCAUUCAAAGUGUAAUCGUUUAACGCAUGCAUUGUGCGCAAGAAUUGAAAUCAAAAUAGAACUAAGGGGCAUGAAAAAGCAGUGUGCCUGGUAAAAGCAAUGCCAAUGCCCAUGAAAAAAGAAGUGAAGAAAAAAUGAAUAAGAAUUAGGGGCAUGAAAGUAAUGUGCUUGAUAAAAGCAAGAUCAAUGCCCCAAGAGAAAAACAUUGGUUGAAGAAAGUCACAUCCCUUAUGAGGCGGUACAUAAAGAACUCAAAUGCUGAGAUGUUACAAUCAAUGGAGUUUUGAUACAAAGAAAAUCUUUGACGGUGAAGAAGAAGAUUGGUGGCAAUGUCAAGAUGAUUACCAACUCUGAUCCCUCUAAACACAUUUUGAGCCUAAUGAGCCUUUCGUUUCUCAACCCAUGAACCUAGCCUACGUUACGUCCAUUGCAAAGUCUCUUCUGAUUAGGGCACUUGAAUUAACGUAGGAGUUCACAUGUCUUAAACAUUGCUCGAAGAAGUGCGAGCAAGAUUAUUUCUUUCUCAUUUUGCAGGGUUCUUGACUUGUAAACCCGAAGAUGAUUGCUGAGUUGUCCUUUCAAUAGCCUUGACUCAAAGAGUCCCUUUGUUAGGCCAUUGACCAAGCCCACAUUACGGUCCCUAUUAAAAACCUCUCAGAUUGGUAAGGUCGUACUGCUUGCGAGAAUACUCGGACCCUUGUUGGUAUGAUGAUAGUGAGAUUGAGUGAUUCUUCUAAAAUAACUCUUCUGAAUGAGAGUGAGUGAAAGUCCUUUCUAACUGAAAGUCUCUCAUUUAGUAUUCUUAAGAACUCCAUGUCAUUGUCUUGAACGACAAUUCUCUCCUGUGGAAAGUUGGGUGAUGCAAAUAUGGUAAAGUCAUUAUGCAUAAACCUUGGUUGAAUUGAUGAAAACCUCACUGAAUUUUGAAAUGUGCAUUUUAAAGUGGCUCAGAUUGUCUACUUCUUUGAUGAAUGCAUAGAGUUUUGCUCUAAUCAUGACUGAUAGACAAUAUUUCCUUGAAGAUCGAGUAAUACUUGACAUUCAAGUUGUUCCUUGAAGCCUUGAGAUUCGGCGAGAUUCGGCGUGCUUUCGUAGCCCGAAGUCCCUUUAUAUUGAUCUGGCGUGCUUCCGUAGCCCAGAGUUCCUUUUCAUCGACUCGGCGUGCUUUCGUAGCCCGAAGUCCCUUUAUAUUGACCUGGCGUGCUUCCGUAGCCCAGAGUUCCUUCUCAUCGACCUGGCGUGCUUCCGUAGCCCAAAGUCCCUUUUCAUCGACUCGGCGUGCUUUCGUAGCCCGAAGUCCCUUUAUAUUGACCUGGCGUGCUUCCGUAGCCCAGAGUUCCUUUUCAUCGACUCGGCGUGCUUUCGUAGCCCGAAGUCCCUUUAUAUUGACCUGGCGUGCUUCCGUAGCCCAGAGUUCCUUCUCAUCGACUCGGCGUGCUUUCGUAGCCCAGAGUUCAUUUUCAUCGACUCGGCGUGCUUUCGUAGCCCGAAGUCCCUUUAUAUUGACCUGGCGUGCUUCCGUAGCCCAGAGUCCCUUUUCAUCGACUCGGCGUGCUUUCGUAGCCCGAAGUCCCUUUAUAUUGACCUGGCGUGCUUCCGUAGCCCAGAGUUCCUUCUCAUCGACUCGGCGUGCUUUCGUAGCCCAGAGUUCCUUUUCAUCGACUCGGCAUGCUUUCGUAGCCCGAAGUCCCUUUAUAUUGACCUGGUGUGCUUCCAUAGCCCAGAGUUCCUUGAUAUGACCUGGUAUGCUUCCGUAGCCCAGAGUCCCCAGUUAUAUCGACCUGGCGUGCUUCCGUAGCCCAGAGUCCCCAAUUAUAUCGACCUGGCGUGCUUCCGUAGCCCAGAGUCCACAGUUUCAUUGAUUCGACGUGCUUCCGUAGCCCGGAUUCCCUUUAUACUGGCCUGGCGUGCUUUCAUAGCCCAGAGUCCCUUUUCAUUACCUGGCGUGCUUCCGUAGCCCAGAGUCCCUUUCAUCGAUUCGGCGUUUGUUAAGCAUUUCACUCUGGAUGUGAAUGUUUUUCGAUCUUUUUCGUUAUACCUUAGUCUGGAUCUAGGUAUUUCGAAUCUUCUUAAUCCAAUAUUCAUCUCACCUAACAUUGAGUGUCUAUUGGUUAAGUCUCAAAACUCUUGACAUCUCAGUCUGGAUCUGGAUGUCUCGAAACUCUUCGUUAAGCGUUUCAUUCUGGAUAUGAAUGCUUUCCGAUCUUUCGCGUUAUACCUUAGUCUGGAUCUAGGUAUUUCGAAUCCUCUUAAUCCAAUAUUCAUCUCACCUAACAUUGAGUGUCUAUUGGUUAAGUUUCCAAAUUCUUGACAUCUCAGUCUGGAUCUGGAUGUCUCAAAACUUUCCCCCGUUUAGGCGACCGUAGAAUGGUACGGGUCCUAGACAACAUUUAUUUCCCCAUUCAGGCGACCGUAGAAUGGUACGAGUCCUGGAAAAUGAAUCCCCGUUUAGGCGACAGUAGAAUGGUACGGGUCCUAGACACAACCAAGCAAUGCCAUACUGGGCGACCGUAGAAUGGUACGGGUCCUGGGAAAACAGUCUGUUUGCAAAGCCAUGUUACUAUUCUGGGCGACCGUAGAAUGGUACGGGUCCUAGACAUGUAACACCAAUCUAUCUUGAGUUACUCGAACGUAAGUUAUUCCAGGUAAGUUCCUUUAUCAUUUGCAUUAGUAUUUCCAUGCAUCAUAUAAAUUGCAUUUCGAUUUAUUUUCCCAAAAAAAAAAAAACAAAAAAAAACAACAAAAAACAACUUUGAGAGUCAUUCAUGGCAUGUGCAUGAUCAAAAUUUAGGUCUCAAUUUAUCUUUGAAGGCAACCUCUAUGAGCUCACCUUCAAAGAGGGGCAGCUGUUGACACCUAAAUUUUGACUAAUCAUUUAGUAAUUAAUUGCAUAAAAAUUUAGGGAUUAAUCUUUAACCCCUAAGAAAAAAUAGUAAAAUUGCAUUUCAUGUAGUUGCAUUUGCAUCGGUACUAAAAGCGAAACAAGACGCAGCGGCUCGCAGUCGAUUACAUACACGAAGGGAAUUGUCUCUCUCCACUGCUCUGAGCACGCAAAAGAGCGAAAGUCAAAUAAAGAGGAAGGAAGUUCACGUCCGUUGUCUCUCCCUCAUUGCGGAUGCUAGAGGAAUCCUAGAGAAGCAAAAUGAGGCCAUGAUAUAAUAUUAUAUAAUAUGCUCUCUCUGUGGGUUGUCAGGAGAAGAAAUUUGCUGAAGGAGGAAGCCAAUAAUAAACAAGACAAGUCAAGAGUUGCGGCUAUCCUAUAGAAGGGAGGGACAAGUAGCCCUAUAAGAAGCCCCAAGCAGGAGGAAGAAAGAAGAAUCCAUGAACGUGCAUUUUCUCCCCUCUCAUUAAUGCAUGCACAUGCACGCAUUAAUGGGGACGUGAAAAUUCUCCUGCAAGAAGAUGGACCAACAUUUCUUUAAUAUUAUCCCUGCUGAAAAGCAGAUGGGUAGCCACCAUAUUUGAGAAAAGCAACCGGACGUGAACAACAAGGAAGAAUUAUGGCCGCCUCCUAUUCACACUAAAGUCAGUUGGACUUCAAAGAACCCUAUAAAUACGCAAAGGGUGAAGCCACGCAAAGGGAGGCCAGGAGAGAAGAUAAGAGAAAAAAAUCUAUGAAAAAGGCCCACAGAGAGAUAUACACGGGAGGGAGAGAAACGCAGAGGAAGGAGGGGAGCUGAACGAAAAAAAUUCAAUUUGAGAGGUUUGUCAGGGGAGAAAAAAAAAAUCAUUUGCAGAGCACAUAGAGAAACACACGAGUUGAGAGGAGGAAGAGAUUAAAAAAGGAGACUCUCGUCAGAGAGAAACAAAAGAAAUGAAAUCGGGGGAGGAGAUUAAAAAAAGAUGAAGAGAGAUAGAGAGCCUGUCAGAGAAAAAACCAAAAAAAAGAAGGUGAAGAUAGAGAGGGCAACAGAGACAGAGAAAGAACGUGAAAAAAAAUUAUUAAAAAAAGAGGGGUUGUCUUCUUCAAGUGGGGGCUUCGAGCGAGGCCUGCAUCUCCACCACAUAGCAAUCGGUCGCAGCCUCCCUCCUUCCGGCAAGCUCCAAACGCCGUCACUGCGGCACCCCCCGAGCCUCACCGACGCUCAGCGUCUGCGACCUGCGGUUGCCCGCUGCCGCUCCUCCGCCCAUCGCUGGUCGCCGUACCGCCCACCGCCCUCCACCAGCGACGUCUGCAGCUCCACAGCUGCGCCUCAGCCCGCUCACCACCGCGCCAGCAGCUCGCCAGCAGCCGGCUCGAGCGCGUCGCCACCGCUGCCCACCACGCCAGCAGCACCUCCGAGCUAGCACCACUGCGUUCCGCUGCUGCCGACGUCCCCUCCGCCACCAUCGCUGCCGUCGCCCAGAUCUGAGCCGACACCCCAGCAGCCCGCGCCUGCGCUGCUCUUCGCCCGAGCACCAGCAGCACCGUCCCGGACACCUGCAACCAGCAGCCACCUCUGCUCGUCGCCACCAUCGCAGCAACGUUGCAGCAGCCCACCUGAACGCCGACGCCCCAGCAGCCCGCGCCUGCGCUGCUCUUCGCCCGAGCACCAGCAGCACCGUCCCGGACACCUGCAACCAGCAGCCACCUCUGCUCGUCGCCACCACCGCAGCAACGUUGCAGCAGCCCACCUGAACGCCGUCGCUGCUGCUGCCCGCGCCGCUGCCUCUCAGUCCGCAACACCUGCAGCACCUUCGCCCGACGCCUGCACCCAUAGCCGUGCCUCUGCUCGCCCGUCACAGCUCCUGCCUCCGUCGUUGCCCGUGUCCUACACCGGCAACGCCACCCGCCUGCUCUGCCCUGACGUCAAGUUCCAGCUCUACAAGCCAUCCGUGAAAUCCCCAGCAAUAACGGCGAGCUGCUGUCCAAGCUCGAACCGGACCAUUCUAAACUGAGAAGUUGCAGCACCGGCGAAUCACUUGUUCUUCUAAGUCCACCAACGUAGAGAAAGGGGGGGCACAUAAAGAGCAAAAUAAAAAAAAAAG
rnacentral:lncRNA from 1 species